GACAGAGGUGGCAAGCGUUGUUCGGAUUCAUUGGGUGUAAAGGGUCCGUAGGCGGCCGGGCAAGUCCGGUGUGAAAUCCCACGGCUCAACCGUGGAACUGCAUUGGAAACUGCUUGGCUUGAGUGCUGGAGAGGUGAGGGGAAUUCUCGGUGUAAGGGUGAAAUCUGUAGAUAUCGAGAGGAACACCAGUGGCGAAGGCGCCUCACUGGCCGGUUACUGACGCUGAGGGACGAAAGCUAGGGGAGCAAACGGG
rnacentral:rRNA from 1 species